rnacentral:rRNA from 1 species
UACGUAGGGCGCAAGCGUUGUCCGGAAUUAUUGGGCGUAAAGAGCUCGUAGGCGGCUUGUCGCGUCGGUUGUGAAAGCCCGGGGCUUAACCCCGGGUCUGCAGUCGAUACGGGCAGGCUAGAGUUCGGUAGGGGAGAUCGGAAUUCCUGUUGUAGCGGUGAAAUGCGCAGAUAUCAGGAGGAACACCGGUGGCGAAGGCGGAUCUCUGGGCCGAUACUGACGCUGAGGAGCGAAAGCGUGGGGAGCGAACAGG